UGAGAAAGUGGCGGGGGGCUAAUACAUGCAAGUCGAGCGGACCGACGGGAGCUUGCUCCCUUAGGUCAGCGGCGGACGGGUGAGUAACACGUGGGUAACCUGCCUGUAAGACUGGGAUAACUCCGGGAAACCGGGGCUAAUACCGGAUGCUUGAUUGAACCGCAUGGUUCAAUCAUGAAAGGCGGCUUCGGCUGCCGUUUACAGAUGGACCCGCGGCGCAUUAGCUAGUUGGUGAGGUAACGGCUCACCAAGGCGACGAUGCGUAGCCGACCUGAGAGGGUGAUCGGCCACACUGGGACUGAGACACGGCCCAGACUCCUACGGGAGGCAGCAGUAGGGAAUCUUCCGCAAUGGACGAAAGUCUGACGGAGCAACGCCGCGUGAGUGAUGAAGGUUUUCGGAUCGUAAAGCUCUGUUGUUAGGGAAGAACAAGUACCGUUCGAAUAGGGCGGUACCUUGACGGUACCUAACCAGAAAGCCACGGCUAACUACGUGCGAGCAGCCGCGGUAAUACGUAGGUGGCAAGCGUUGUCCGGAAUUAUUGGGCGUAAAGCGCGCGCAGGCGGUUUCUUAAGUCUGAUGUGAAAGCCCCGCGGCUCAACCGGGGAGGGUCAUUGGAAACUGGGGAACUUGAGUGCAGAAGAGGAGAGUGGAAAUUCCACGUGUAGCGGUGAAAUGCGUAGAGAUGUGGAGGAACAGCCAGUGGCGAAAGGCGACUCUCUGGUCUGUAACUGACGCUGAGGCGCGAAAGCGAUGGGGAGCGAACAGGAUUAGAUACGCCUGUAGUCCACGCCGUAACGAUGAGUGCUAAGUGUUAGAGGGUUUCCGCCCUUUAGUGCUGCAGCAAACGCAUUAAGCACUCGGCCUGGGGAGUACGGUCGCAGGACUGAAACUCAAAGAUUGACGGGGCCCGCACAGCUGUGAGCAUGUGGUUAAGUCGAGCCAGCGCGAGAUCUUACAAGUCUGAACGUCUCUGACUCCUAGAGAUAGGCUCCAUCGGGGCGAAUGACAGGUGUGCAUGAUGUCGUCACUCGUUCUGCAAGUUUGGGUUAGUACGCACUGAGACAACUGACUUACUGCAGCAUUCCACUGC
rnacentral:rRNA from 1 species